UACGGGAGGCAGCAGUGGGGAAUAUUGCACAAUAGGCGAAAGCCUGAUGCAGCUAUGCCGCGUGUAUGAAGAAGGCCUUAGGGUUGUAAAGUACUUUCAUCGGGGAGGAAAAAACAAAACUAAUAAUUUUAUUUCUUGACGUUACCCGAAAAAGAAGCACCGGCUAACUCCGUGCCAGCAGCCGCGGUAAUACGGAGGGUGCUAGCGUUAAUCAGAAUUACUGGGUGUAAAGAGCACGUAGGUGGUUUUUUUAAGUCAGAUGUGAAAUCCCUGGGCUUAACCUAGGAACUGCAUUUUGAAACUGAAAUACUAGAGUAUCGUAGAGGGAGGUAGAAUUCUAGGUGUAGCGGUGAAAUGCGUAGAUAUCUGGAGGAAUACCUGUGGCGAAAGCGGCCUCCUAAACGAAUACUGACACUGAGGUGCGAAAGCGUGGGGAGCAAACAGGGAUUAGAUACC
rnacentral:rRNA from 1 species